rnacentral:rRNA from 1 species
UAUUGGGCGUAAGCGAGCGCAGGCGGUUUCUUAAGUCUGAUGUGAAAGCCCCCGGCUCAACCGGGGAGGGUCAUUGGAAACUGGGAGACUUGAGUGCAGAAGAGGAGAGUGGAAUUCCAUGUGUAGCGGUGAAAUGCGUAGAUAUAUGGAGGAACACCAGUGGCGAAGGCGGCUCUCUGGUCUGUAACUGACGCUGAGGCUCGAAAGCGUGGGGAGCAAACAGGAUUAGA